AUUGAACGCUGGCGGCAUGCUUUACACAUGCAAGUCGAACGGUAACAGGCCGCAAGGUGCUGACGAGUGGCGAACGGGUGAGUAAUGCGUCGGAACGUGCCCAGUCGUGGAGGAUAACGCAGCGAAAGCUGUGCUAAUACCGCAUACGAUCUAUGGAUGAAAGCGGGGGACCGUAAGGCCUCGCGCGAUUGGAGCGGCCGAUGUCAGAUUAGGUAGUUGGUGGGGUAAAGGCCCACCAAGCCAACGAUCUGUAGCUGGUCUGAGAGGACGACCAGCCACACUGGGACUGAGACACGGCCCAGACUCCUACGGGAGGCAGCAGUGGGGAAUUUUGGACAAUGGGCGCAAGCCUGAUCCAGCAAUGCCGCGUGCAGGAAGAAGGCCUUCGGGUUGUAAACUGCUUUUGUACGGAACGAAACGGUCUGGGUUAAUACCUCGGGCUAAUGACGGUACCGUAAGAAUAAGCACCGGCUAACUACGUGCCAGCAGCCGCCGUAACAC
rnacentral:rRNA from 1 species